rnacentral:rRNA from 1 species
UGGGGAAUCUUGGACAAUGGGGGCAACCCUGAUCCAGCAAUGCCGCGUGUGUGAAGAAGGCCUUCGGGUUGUAAAGCACUUUCGGUGGGGAAGAAAAGUGCGGGGCGAAUAUCCCCGUAACUUGACGGUACCCAUAGAAGAAGCACCGGCUAACUCUGUGCCAGCAGCCGCGGUAAUACGGAGGGGGCUAGCGUUGUUCGGAAUUACUGGGCGUAAAGGGCGCGUAGGCGGGCGAUCAAGUCAGAGGUGAAAGGCCUGGGCUCAACCUGGGAACUGCCUUUGAAACUGAUAGUCUAGAGUCCGGGAGAGGAUGGCGGAAUUCCCAGUGUAGAGGUGAAAUUCGUAGAUAUUGGGAAGAACACCAGUGGCGAAGGCGGCCAUCUGGUCCGGUACUGACGCUGAGGCGCGAAAGCGUGGGGAGCAAACAGGAUUAGAUACCCUGGUAGUCCACGCCGUAAACGAUGUGUGCUAGCCGUUGGGGAACCUAGUUUCUCAGUGGCGCAGCUAACGCGUUAAGCACACCGCCUGGGGAGUACGGUCGCAAGAUUA